GCUUCUUGCUAAAAAUCUCAGCAUGAGCAAAAUCCGUUUAAAUAGCCUUUCGCAAGGCAUUGUGGAUCAUGUAGGAUAAAGGCGCGCUACAUUCUAUUCAUCACUAUUGGGUCUGGCGUCAUUGAAAACUACAUCACCCGAACUGCAUCUGUUUCAGUUAAUACCUAGGACGCACUGAACAGUUUUUUUCAGAUGGACCGAACACAGGAGGAUGUAGACCUGUGCAUGACACGAAGGGCAAUGGAAGAUCCCAAAUCCAUUCAGAGGAGGUUUGAAGCGGCUGUUAAAGUGAUCCGAAGUUUACCUGAAGAUGGCUCCUAUGACCUGUCUGAUGAUAUGCUGGUUAUGUUCUACAGUUACUACAAACAAGCUACAGCAGGACCAUGUAACACCCCGAAACCCAACUCUUGGGAUCCUAUUGGUAAAGCUAAAUGGGAGGCAUGGAAAACCUUGGGAAACAUGUCAAAGGACCAAGCCAUGAUGGAAUAUGUUCAGGAAAUACAGCAGAUAAUUGAAACCCUCCCGGUCACAGACAGGAUGGCAGAAUUAAUGGACGCUCUUGACCCAUUUUAUGAGAUGGUGGCGGAAGAUGAUGAAGAUGAUGCAUUCAGUAAAGCAGCACCCUUAUCCACAGGAAACACUAAUGCCGAAAAAACUGAUGAUGAUGCUGAGAAACUUAAAGAGGGGGAAAGUGAAAUUAAUGGGGAAAAUAAGGAAGAUGAGAUGGAGAUGGAGAAGCGGAGGAAAGCUCUUUUCUAUUCUGCAGACUCGAGCACAUUUGGAGCAGGGAGAGGAGGUUCAUCAGUGUUUAAUGAAAGUGAGGAGAACAGCAUGUCCUCCUCAACCGAUGACGCUCAUAGUUCUCUGAACACGGGGGAGGAAGAGGAGGAAUUGACUUAUGAUGACUCAGACGAUGAGAUGUACAGUGACUCGAUGGAAAAUCCAGCAACACAAGAGAAGGGUUCGGGAGUUCCCAGGGUCCAUUUGGCAGAUGUGAGCGUGGCUGGGGCCCGCAUGCAACAAGGGGGAAACAGAGAGCCUCAGUGUGGGAGUCAGGAUGGAAAGCCACAGGGAGCUACACCCCCCGUCCCCCACCCACCGACACUUGGACCGGUCCGAACUGACAGAAUCUCAGCAGGCAGUGGAAGAGGUUGUCAGUUAACAGGAACUAACCUACCUGAUGAACAUGAGAACUUAUCAGAGCGCAGUUGCCAAGGAAAUGGUCAGUGCUGUGAGACUGAAGAGACUGAAGAGAGAGCGGACAAGCAGGCGCUUAACCCACAGAUCGCUGUGAUAUUGUCAGAGUUACAGGACAAUAUGCAGGAUGUGCUGCACAGACUGACCACACUGGAGCUUCUCACAGCAUCACAAGCUGAAAUCCUUGCUCUCAAAACUCAGCACUCUAUAAGUCACCAAAAAAGAGGUUGCCCUGGUGGCCUUUAACCAUGUCCCCUAUCACUGUAGCACUGACAGUUAUCUGGCCCUUUGCUGUGCACUGGCUGGUGCAGUUUUACUUACAGAAAAGGAGGAGAAGGUUAAGAGUGAAGUGAAGAUUCAGUUACCAGCUGCGCAGCUCCUGAAGACUUUCAAGUGGUCUGGACGUAUCUGAUAUAUACAACAGUGAAUAUUGUGAUGCCACACUGAGCCUCAGGACCUUAGUAAGGACUUGAUAAGGAUACACACUACUGUUCAGAAGUUUGGGGUCAGUAAGAUGGAAUUAAUACUUUAUUCAAAAGU